AUACGUAGGGGGCGAGCGUUGUCCGGAAUGAUUGGGCGUAAAGGGCGCGUAGGCGGCCCGGUAAGUCUGGAGUGAAAGUCCUGUUUUUAAGAUGGGAAUUGCUUUGGAUACUGUCGGGCUUGAGUGCAGGAGAGGUAAGUGGAAUUCCCAGUGUAGCGGUGAAAUGCGUAGAGAUUGGGAGGAACACCAGUGGCGAAGGCGACUUACUGGACUGUAACUGACGCUGAGGCGCGAAAGUGUGGGGAGCAAACAGGAUUAGAUACCCUGGUAGUCCACACUGUAAACGAUGAAUGCUAGGUGUAGGAGGUAUCGACCCCUUCUGUGCCGCAGUCAACACAAUAAGCAUUCCGCCUGGGGAGUACGGCCGCAAGGUUGAAACUCAAAUGAAUUGACGGGG
rnacentral:rRNA from 1 species